CGGGACGGGUGAGUAACGCGUGAGGAACCUGCCUUGAAGAGGGGGACAACAGUUGGAAACGACUGCUAAUACCGCAUGAAGCAUAGGGGUCGCAUGAUCUUUAUGCCAAAGAUUUAUCGCUUCAAGAUGGCCUCGCGUCUGAUUAGCUAGUUGGCGGGGUAACGGCCCACCUAGUCUUCGAUGGAUAGGGGUUCUGAGAGGAAGGUCCCCCACAUUGGAACUGAGACACGGUCCAA
rnacentral:rRNA from 1 species